rnacentral:rRNA from 1 species
GGGGAAUAUUGGACAAUGGGCGAAAGCCUGAUCCAGCCAUGCCGCGUGUGUGAAGAAGGUCUUCGGAUUGUAAAGCACUUUAAGUUGGGAGGAAGGGUUGUAGAUUAAUACUCUGCAAUUUUGACGUUACCGACAGAAUAAGCACCGGCUAACUCCGUGCCAGCAGCCGCGGUAAUACGGAGGGUGCGAGCGUUAUCCGGAUUUACUGGGUUUAAAGGGUGCGUAGGCGGGCUAUUAAGUCAGAGGUGAAAUCUCCGGGCUCAACCUGGAAACUGCCUUUGAUACUAUUAGCCUUGAAUUAUGUUGAGGUUGGCGGAAUAUAACAUGUAGCGGUGAAAUGCUUAGAUAUGUUAUGGAACACCGAUUGCGAAGGCAGCUGGCUAAACAUAUAUUGACGCUGAUGCACGAAAGCGUGGGUAGCGAACA